rnacentral:rRNA from 1 species
GCAAUACACGAAAGUGUGACAGGGCUAUCCCGAGUGCCAUCCGCUGAGGAAGGCUUUUACCCAGUUUAGAACGCUGGGAGAAUAAGGAGAGGGCAAGACUGGUGUCAGCCGCCGCGGUAAUACCAGCUCUCCGAGUGGUGUGGAUGUUUAUUGGGCCUAAAGCAUCCGUAGCUGGCUGGGCAAGUCCCCUGUUAAAUCCACCGAUUUAAUCGUUGGAAUGCGGGGGAUACUGUUCGGCUAGGGGACGGGAGAGGCAGACGGUAUUUUCGGGGUAGGGGUGAAAUCCUAUAAUCCCGGGAAGACCACCAGUGGCGAAGGCUGUCUGCUAGAACGCGCCCGACGGUGAGGGAUGAAAGCUGGGGGAGCGAACCGGAUUAGAUACCCGGGUAGUCCCAGCUGUAAACGAUGCAGGCUAGGUGUUUGGGCGGCCACGUGCCGCUCUAGUGCCGCAGGGAAGCCGUUAAGCCUGCCGCCUGGGGAGUACGGCCGCAAGGCUGAAACUUAA